CAGCAGCCACGGGAACACGGAGGGUGCAAGCGUUAAUCGGAAUUACUGGGCGUAAAGCGCACGCAGGCGGUCUGUCAAGUCAGAUGUGAAAUCCCCGGGCUUAACCUGGGAACUGCAUUUGAAACUGGCAGGCUAGAGUCUUGUAGAGGGGGGUAGAAUUCCAGGUGUAGCGGUGAAAUGCGUAGAGAUCUGGAGGAAUACCGGUGGCGAAGGCGGCCCCCUGGACAAAGACUGACGCUCAGGUGCGAAAGCGUGGGGAGCAAACAGGAUUAGAUACCCGCGUAGUCCCUGUCUCUUAUAC
rnacentral:rRNA from 1 species